GCCUGGGUAGCUUAGUUGGUAGAGCAUCAAACUUUUAAUCUGAGGGUCCAGGGUUCAAGUCCCUGUGCAGUAUA